GAUGAACGCUGGCGGCGUGCCUAAUACAUGCAAGUCGAGCGAACAGACGAGGAGCUUGCUCCUCUGACGUUAGCGGCGGACGGGUGAGUAACACGUGGAUAACCUACCUAUAAGACUGGGAUAACUUCGGGAAACCGGAGCUAAUACCGGAUAAUAUAUUGAACCGCAUGGUUCAAUAGUGAAAGACGGUUUUGCUGUCACUUAUAGAUGGAUCCGCGCCGCAUUAGCUAGUUGGUAAGGUAACGGCUUACCAAGGCAACGAUGCGUAGCCGACCUGAGAGGGUGAUCGGCCACACUGGAACUGAGACACGGUCCAGACUCCUACGGGAGGCAGCAGUAGGGAAGCUGCCGCAAUGGGCGAAAGCCUGACGGAGCAACGCCGCGUGAGUGAUGAAGGUCUGCGGAUCGUAAAACUCUGUUAUUAGGGAAGAACAAAUGUGUAAGUAACUAUGCACGUCUUGACGGUACCUAAUCAGAAAGCCACGGCUAACUACGUG
rnacentral:rRNA from 1 species